rnacentral:rRNA from 1 species
GACCUAGCAAUAGGUAUGCUUAGGGAAGAGCUUGCGUCACAUUAGUUAGUUGGUGGGGUAAUGGCCUACCAAGACGAUGAUGUGUAGCCGGGCUGAGAGGUCGAACGGCCACAUUGGGACUGAGACACGGCCCAAACUCCUACGGGAGGCAGCAGUAAGGAAUUUUCGGCAAUGGAGGAAACUCUGACCGAGCAAUGCCGCGUGAACGAUGAAGUAUUUCGGUACGUAAAGUUCUUUUAUUAGGGAAGAAAAGAUGGUGGAAAAACCAUUAUGACGGUACCUAAUGAAUAAGCCCCGGCUAACUAUGUGCCAGCAGCCGCGGUAAUACAUAGGGGGCAAGCGUUAUCCGGAAUUAUUGGGCGUAAAGGGUGCGUAGGCGGUUAAAUAAGUUUAUGGUCUAAGUGCAACGCUCAACGUUGUGAUGCUAUAAAAACUGUUUAGCUAGAGUUGGAUAGAGGCAAGUGGAAUUCCGUGUGUAGUGGUAAAAUGCGUAAAUAUACGGAGGAACACCAGAAGCGAAGGCGGCUUGCUGGGUCUUAACUGACGCUGAGGCACGAAAGCGUGGGGAGCAAACAGGAUUAGAUACCCUGGUAGUCCACGCCCUAAACGAUGAGUACUAAACGUUGGAUAAAACCAGUGUUGAAGUUAACACAUUAAGUACUCCGCCUGAGUAGUACGUACGCAAGUAUGAAACUUAAAGGAAUUGACGGGACUCCGCACAAGCGGUGGAUCAUGUUGUUUAAUUCGAAGGUACCCGAAAAACCUCACCAGGUCUUGACAUGCUUUUGCAAAGCUGUAGAAAUACAGUGGAGGUUAUCAGAAGCACAGGUGGUGCAUGGUUGUCGUCAGCUCGUGUCGUGAGAUGUUGGGUUAAGUCCCGCAACGAGCGCAACCCUUGUUGUUAAUUGCCAUCAUUAAGUUGGGGACUUUAGCAAGACUGCCAAUGAUAAAUUGGAGGAAGGUGGGGACGACGUCAAAUCAUCAUGCCCCUUAUGACCUGGGCUACAAACGUGAUACAAUGGCUGUUACAAAGGGUAGCUAAAGCGUAAGCUUCUGGCGAAUCUCAAAAAAGCAGUCUCAGUUCGGAUUGAAGUCUGCAACUCGACUUCAUGAAGUUGGAAUCGCUAGUAAUCGCGAAUCAGCA